rnacentral:rRNA from 1 species
ACUCAGUGAAAUUGAACUCGCUGUGAAGAUGCAGUGUACCCGCGGCAAGACGGAAAGACCCCGUGAACCUUUACUAUAGCUUGACACUGAACAUUGAGCCUUGAUGUGUAGGAUAGGUGGGAGGCUUUGAAGUGUGGACGCCAGUCUGCAUGGAGCCGACCUUGAAAUACCACCCUUUAAUGUUUGAUGUUCUAACGUGGACCCGUUACCCGGGUUGCGGACAGUGUCUGGUGGGUAGUUUGACUGGGGCGGUCUCCUCCUAAAGAGUAACGGAGGAGCACGAAGGUUGGCUAAUCCUGGUCGGACAUCAGGAGGUUAGUGCAAUGGCAUAAGCCAGCUUGACUGCGAGCGUGACGGCGCGAGCAGGUGCGAAAGCAGGUCAUAGUGAUCCGGUGGUUCUGAAUGGAAGGGCCAUCGCUCAACGGAUAAAAGGUACUCCGGGGAUAACAGGCUGAUACCGCCCAAGAGUUCAUAUCGACGGCGGUGUUUGGCACCUCGAUGUCGGCUCAUCACAUCCUGGGGCUGAAGUAGGUCCCAAGGGUAUGGCUGUUCGCCAUUUAAAGUGGUACGCGAGCUGGGUUUAGAACGUCGUGAGACAGUUCGGUCCCUAUCUGCCGUGGGCGCUGGAGAACUGAGGGGGGCUGCUCCUAGUACGAGAGGACCGGAGUGGACGCAUCACUGGUGUUCGGGUUGUCAUGCCAAUGGCACUGCCCGGUAGCUAAAUGCGGAAGAGA